rnacentral:rRNA from 1 species
GCAGGCCAUCCUACGGGAGGCAGCAGUGGGGAAUAUUGCACAAUGGGCGCAAGCCUGAUGCAGCCAUGCCGCGUGUAUGAAGAAGGCCUUCGGGUUGUAAAGUACUUUCAGCAGUGAGGAAGGUGGGUAUGUUAAUAGCAUACUCAUUUGACGUUAGCUGCAGAAGAAGCACCGGCUAACUCCGUGCCAGCAGCCGCGGUAAUACGGAGGGUGCGAGCGUUAAUCGGAAUUACUGGGCGUAAAGCGCAUGCAGGUGGUUUGUUAAGUCAGAUGUGAAAGCCCGGGGCUCAACCUCGGAAUUGCAUUUGAAACUGGCAAACUAGAGUACUGUAGAGGGGGUAGAAUUUCAGGUGUAGCGGUGAAAUGCGUAGAGAUCUGAAGGAAUACCGGUGGCGAAGGCGGCCCCCUGGACAGAUACUGACACUCAGAUGCGAAAGCGUGGGGAGCAAACAGGAUUAGAUACCCUGGUAG